CCGCGCCUUUAGCCAGGAGAGGGUUUUGGAGAAAGAUAGGUGAGCGGUAAGCUGCAAAGGAAUUCUUUUUUCUAUUGAUUCUGGAGAAAAAAAGAAAAUGUUUAAUAUUUAAUAUAAGGAGAGCCGGCUUCAAGCAAGGCUAUAGUGCGUUCCCAAGCGCGCAAGGGUAGAGAGUUUGUCCAGAGAGGGUCAAAAGAAAAGGGGCAGAGCAAACAAAAACCGCCUUGAAGCGAACUUCCACCUCUAACCCUUAAUUUGGCGCUAACUGAGCCGUAGCUGAUGAGCUUACUGAGUCAAAGCUCUCACGAGAUCUCGUUGGCAUUCCCUGUCAAGUAAAUGAAAGGCAAGUCACGGGGGAUUAGACCGUGAAGGCUAAAACUUAAAAAAGCAGUCCUAUAUUGCAUGUAGGAAGGGAGAUAGGGGGUUCGGGGCAUACUUCGAUCAAUGUUUUGGAACCAUCCGAACGAAUGUAAUUUAACAUGGCGACCUAUGUGGAAUGCCUCGUUAGGCAAAUACAAUGCAAGACCUGUCACAUCAAGGUCAAGACGAAAUCGACUCUUCAUUUUCUUCUCUAACUACUGAAAGCAAACGGCGAACUAGUGGGUGGCAAGGAUACUAUUAGGGAAGGGCCGGAGGUUUUAUUCCACAGCGGAUAUGGAAUUCUAUUGAAACUUUCAGUUUCACCUCGCGACUCGGGAUACGUGCAAGGAGAGCCAGGGCAAGCGCAACCCUGACGUUACUAAUGAGCUCCUUGUGGUGAUCUAUCUUACGUACGGCAUUCAUGUGUCAUUUUUUCGCUUUUUCACUUCAUAUUUACCCGGUCUGUAACCAUUUCUUGCAAGAAUUUCUUGACUCGAGUUCAGAGGCUAUCUACUCCCCUCCUAGAAGAAAAAGCUUCUUAUCACUACCUCCUUCCCCACCCGAACCUUUCCUCGAAGAACCCCUUCUUUUGAAGCAACCGAACCAACCACCUAACCGUCAGUCUGAGCUCUCUGGAUCAGUCAGUCCUUAAGUAAGUCAGUAAAUAGUCGUCCCAAAGUUGAAAGAUUCGUCGCACCUACGUCGAAAAGGUGCAAUUCGAGAGUCAUUCAAAACGUUUAAAAGGUCUGGAAGCUCUUUCUGCUCAGUCUCCAUUUUUGUAUUGUCCCCAAGCAGCAUCCCUUCAAGUCCCUGCUAUCUCGAUAAGGGAGGACGCUUCUCCUUCCCUAGAGAUGGAUGGGUUUGCGGGCAUCGCUCAGUAGUUUAAUCUAGUGAGGGAAACCCUUCAUCAAUAGAAAAAGAAAGCCUAUUUAGUUAGUUUAGGGAAAGAAAUUCCUUCUUCGAAUAGUUAGCCAGCCAGGGAAUAGUUACCCAGUCAUUCCCCGCCACUCUUUCACACAGCAUCGAGGGCUUUUUCAUAAGAAGCAGCACUCUAUUGUCCACUUCGAUAGCUUUCAAGAGUCUCUUUCAUACAUCGUUCCGGGGUCUCCAACCCCCUCUUUCUGGCGGGCCUUCUUUCCUCUGCUUCCUUGUGCUUCUGAGAUCGCUAGCAAUUUGCCAUUGACUGAUUCACCAAGCCAAUAGCCAAUCCUCCAGCAGGAGACAAGGCAGCUGAAAUCGUGAUAGGAUCCAUUCCUGUUCCUACACGAUGUGAAAAAGCCAGAAUAUCGGAGGCCCGGAAGCAGUGAACAUGAUUCCAGACCCUCUGCUACUGGUAAGACCAUCCCGAUUGAUCAAUUUCCUGUGCAGUCUCCUACAAAAUGGAUCAAAUGCAAGAAAAAUCCUUUAAGUUCUCUCCCCAGUUCCGGCUUGGGCUACACAAGCUUGGUCCCGAGAGAGGGCUUUCCUUCGAUCUAAUACCGGGUUUCUCUCGGUAGCCUAUGGAUCUGCCUUGCUUUGGCCGAGGCUUUCUUCUCUCCCAUUAGCUGUAGAGCAUCCAGUUCAAGCAUAAUCCUAACUUGAGGAUGGCACCUUCUUACCAAAAUCCAUUUACCCUGUCGUCUGGAACUAAAUCAAAAAAAAAUUCCCUUUUGCCUGGUGUGAACUCCGCCCCCUUCCGAGAACAGAUGAAUGCUACUGACUUUGGUUCUUUCACCGAGUGUGGGAUCCUUCUCUUCUACUAGCCAUUAAAUAAAUAGCCAUUGACGCAUCGGCGUAUUCCUCCAACUCCAACAAUGGAUUCUUCUUGCUUUGGCUGAUCUGAUCACAGAAGCAAAAAAGGCUCUUCCUGAUGUGAGAUUGACUGGUAUUCAAGUAGCCAGGGAGGGAGGAGAGCAGUAAAGACUAGCUUUCAAAGAGAAAGAUCGGAUUCUAUACCAGCCCUUUCUCUCCAUCUCAUAAGGAGAGUGGAAUCCCUUGGCUACGAAAGAAGGCUAGGCUCCUUGAACCAGAGCUAAUUAGAUCUUCCCCUUUCUCUGGGUACACAGAAGACCAACUCAAAGUACCACGACCGAAAGUCAACAACAAUUCAAUUCGGUAAAAAAAGUAGAAGGAACUACAUCUAUCAACCGGCAUACCUUUC
rnacentral:lncRNA from 1 species